rnacentral:misc_RNA from 1 species
CCCUGAUGGUGCCAGCCACCGCACCGCGGUAUCAGGGUCCAGUGCCCCCACUCAGUGGGGAGCCCAAGAGCCUGCAUCCUGUCCUCGGGUACGGGGGUGCGGACUCUUGGUGCCAGCGGACAGCUCUGUGCUGACACGGUGCGGGGGAGACGUGCGGUCGUGAUCACAUUUGUAUCAGCUCACUACGCAUCGUGCCGACGACCCAGCACGUAGUGGAAGAAGCGAUCCGUACCCAUCACCCCCUCCCCUACAGCGCAUGUGUGCGAAGCGCGUGGCACCUGCUGCAUCCGGCCGGGUGGGCCGAUGAGGUGCAGAUGCCGGCAGCAUGACGAGAGCACCCUCGAGCUGCACCACCGGGUCCUCCAGACUCCCAUGUGAAGAGCCUCCACACCAUAGUGUGGCAUGCCGCGGCUUGAAGCGACUGAGAGCGCGAAGCAAGGCACACGGGCAGGGUGCGCAGGGUCUCAGAAGGCCCUGACCUGAGGCUGGCCAACUUCCUCUCUGCGCCCAUCCAGCAUGCGAGUAACCCCCCCCUCCCUGCCUACCACCCGCACGGCCGACGCCACCGCUUGUGCCCUCGAGCAG